CCCGGCGGCGCUGGGGACGCGUCUCCGUAGCACGGCGGGGGAGGCCGGGUUCAAAUCCCGGCGCCGGGUCCA
rnacentral:tRNA from 1 species